UACAGAGGUCUCAAGCGUUGUUCGGAUUCAUUGGGCGUAAAGCGCGCGUAGGCGGCUCGGGAAAGUCGGGCGUGAAAUGCUGGGGCUCAACCCCGGGACUGCGUCCGAUACUUCCGAGGCUGGAGGUAGGUAGGGGAGAUCGGAAUUCCUGGUGUAGCGGUGAAAUGCGCAGAGUAUCAGGAGGAACACCGGUGGCGAAGGCGGAUCUCUGGGCCUUACCUGACGCUGGAGGCGCGAAAGCUAGGGGAGCGAACAGG
rnacentral:rRNA from 1 species